rnacentral:rRNA from 1 species
AAUAAGCUAAUUAAGAGCGUAAGGUGGAUGCCUUGGCUCUCAGAGGCGAUGAAGGACGUGAUAAGCUGCGAUAAGCUACGGGGAUUGGCACACACAAUUUGAUCCGUAGAUUUCCGAAUGGGGAAACCCACUAUAUUGAAGAUAUAGUAUCCGUUAAGGAAGCAAACCCAGGGAACUGAAACAUCUAAGUACCUGGAGGAAUAGAAAACAAAAGUGAUUCCGCUAGUAGUGGCGAGCGAACGCGGAUCAGCCCAAACCAAAAUUGUUUCGGCAAUUUUGGGGUUGUAGGACCAUGACAUUGAAUGUUUAAUGAAUUAGAAUUCUUUGGAAAAAGAAACCAUAGAGGGUGAUAGUCCCGUAUAAGUAA